rnacentral:rRNA from 1 species
CCUACGGGAGGCAGCAGUGGGGAAUUUUCCGCAAUGGGCGAAAGCCUGACGGAGCAAUACCGCGUGAGGGAGGAAGGCUCUUGGGUCGUAAACCUCUUUUCUCAGGGAAGAAGAAAGUGACGGUACCUGAGGAAUAAGCAUCGGCUAACUCCGUGCCAGCAGCCGCGGUAAUACGGAGGAUGCAAGCGUUAUCCGGAAUGAUUGGGCGUAAAGGGUCCGCAGGUGGCUGUGUAAGUCUGCUGUUAAAGAGUCAUGCUUAACAUGAUAAGAGCAGUGGAAACUACAUAGCUAGAGUACGUUCGGGGCAGAGGGAAUUCCUGGUGUAGCGGUGAAAUGCGUAGAUAUCAGGAAGAACACCGGUGGCGAAAGCGCUCUGCUAGGCCGUAACUGACACUGAGGGACGAAAGCUAGGGGAGCGAAUGGGAUUAGAUACCCCAGUAGUCCUAGCCGUAAACGAUGGAUACUAGGCGUGGCUUGUAUCGACCCGAGCCGUGCCGUAGCUAACGCGUUAAGUNUCCGCGUGGGUAGUACGCNCGCGAGUGUGAACGUACAANAGAAGUAGACGGCGUGAGACGUCGCCGACGGACGACGACGAGGGAGGUUAGG